CACCCUUCACCUCUCGCCACCUCCCGCUGCUUAAAAUCCUCACGGCCCCCCCCGGGCUCUGCAUCCCGGGGGUCCUCGCCCACCUGCGCGGCCCCGGGCACGCCGAGACUGGCAGGAGGUGGAAUCGGGUUAAUUUGCUGCCAGAUGUUGACAUUUCGAGGCGGGCUCGCCGCGCUGUUGGUACGAAAUCAAGCUAAUUGGCACGGGGUGGGCAAUUAACACAGCUGCAAAACGGGGCUGGGGCUUUGUGCGUAACCUGCCUGGUGGAGUGGGCUGAUGGUGGCCGAUAACGCCUCGUUUUGUCUUGUUUUUUUUGUUUUUUGGCAGAGUGGAAACAGCUUCCAUGUGUUUGACCAAGGACAGUUUGCCAAGGAGGUACUCCCGAAGUACUUCAAGCACAACAACAUGGCCAGCUUCGUGCGGCAGCUCAAUAUGUGUGAGUAUCCCCCCGGGGGGGCUCCUUGCCACGGCCCCAGCCCGCUCUGGGGGGCGUUGUGUUUGACCUGGGGGCCUUUUCUGCCCUUGCAGUGAUCCGGGGGGACCCGGGGGGGAGGUUUAAGGUUGGCUGUGCUGACAGGCAGAGCAACUGCUAACGCCAACAACCCUCGAGGUGAAGAACCUCGAGCUCUCGGCUUUUUAUCUUGCCCUUCCCUGGGUGUGAGCCCGGGAGCUCGCCCGUCGUUAGUGCUGGCGGUGGCGCUCCUUGCUGCUCUCCUUGCCACCUCCUAAUGAAGCAGGAGCUCCUGGAAGGCCUCCAGCUGGACGGAGAAGCCACGAGUGACAGCUCGAGCCAUGGCAGAGCUCUCGCCAUCAUCAAGCCCGAUCCUCUGCUUGGAGGCAGGCUCAGCUCCCUCUGUCUCAUCCCGGUGGCUUUGGGAGUGGUUUCACGAGCCUCCAACAGCCCGGAUGCUGCGAGCUCCUCGGGGAAAUGCUUUUGGUGUGAGGGUGGUGGAGCAGUGGGGCUGGCUGCUGGACGCCUAACCCAAACCCUCCUUCUGCCGU
rnacentral:lncRNA from 1 species